GUUUCCUCUCACACAGAAAUGUUCUGUGAGGGUUCAACAGACGUCCUGAACCUUGGGGUCUACAACACUGGAAACUGAAGGACAGUUGAGGAGUGGCUAAGGGACGACUCCUUUGGACACUGAGCUGGCCCAGCCUGACCCCAAGCAUCCAGUUAGUCGUGGACUAAUAAUCUGGACCCCACAAUGACCGCAGCCCAGAGGGAAGUGCUGAGGAAC